CUGUAACUUCUCUGCCCAGUUCCCCUGUGAGCAACCGUAUGGCUUCCCGGCAUACCCCCUCGAGAGCGCGCCAGUCCCUUCCGGAGGAUGCACGGUAUUUGGGGGAGAACACCAGUACUGCCCGGGAACUGAAGGAAGAGGUCCUAGUCCCUCUGCCCUGCAAACCUGGCUGCCUGGCCUCAGGCGGGUCACCUCGUGGCUGGAUGAAGUUCUUUCAUCACUAAAAUGACGCUACGAUGGACACAACAGAACCAACCGUCUCCUCCCUCCUCUCCCCUGCAGGGAUGCCAGGUGUGGUAGCAGGAACAGUGGGUGUUCCGUCUGCUGACCUCAGAGCUGCUCUCCCUCUACUAAGCUGCAAACUCCUUAUAAGUUAGGACCUUGCUUUAUUUCUUUGUUCCCCUAGCCCAGGGCCUAGGAGAGAUUAUGCCUGCAAUCAAUGAUAGUUGCAAAAACGUUUAAAGUAUAAAGCUUUCCAUGACUGUAAGAUAUUAUUUUUAUCUUUUUCACCCUAAAUAGCCCUUGCCAAGGCCUUUCAUAGAUAGUGUGGGAAACUCCAGAACUGAAAAAUCCAGCCCUUGUAAAACCUGUUUUGCUGUUUUCUCUUUUAAAAGAACAUGUUGCCUUUAUUUUCUUUUUUUAA